GGCCCAAUGGUCUAGAGGUAAGAUACUUGCUUUGGGUGCUCCGGCGCGAUUGCAAGGGAUCCCGGGUUCGAAUCCCGGUUGGGCCC
rnacentral:tRNA from 1 species